rnacentral:lncRNA from 1 species
AGAGGAAGAAGUUGCUCCACUCCUUGAUCUUCUUCUCCACUUUCCUUCUCUUUCUUCUCCUUCCUUUUUUCCUUCUUCUUCUCUUUUCUUCCUUCCCUUUCUUCUCUUCUUUGUCUUCCUAGAGAGAGAAAGAGGGAUGAGAGAGAGUGAGAGGGUUAGAAAUGAGAGAAAUAUCUCAUUUCCCCUCCUACAUAGCUCAAUAGAUUGCAUAAUUGCAAAUAGGCCCCUCAACUUUCAUGUUUUCAAAUUGCCAGAACUGGGCAGUUUCGGGCUC